UACGUAGGUGACCAGCGUUGUCCGGAUUUACUGGGCGGAAAGAGCGCGCAGGCGGUCGUUCAAGUCGAGUGUGAAAGCCCCCGGCUCAACUGGGGAGGGUCAUUCGAUACUGAUCGACUCGAAGGCAGGAGAGGGAAGCGGAAUUCCCGGUGUAGCGGUGAAAUGCGUAGAGAUCGGGAAGAACAUCGGUGGCGAAAGCGCUCUACUGGACCGCAACUGACACUCAGGGACGAAAGCUAGGGGAGCGAAUGGG
rnacentral:rRNA from 1 species